rnacentral:sRNA from 1 species
AAAAUGUUCUUUAGCUCUUUUGCAAUUAAAUCUGGAUGUACCUCAAAAGACUUUAAGACUGUGGUGAUAAGAGGCUUUCCAC